UACGAAGGGGGUGAGCGUUAUCCGAAAUGAUUGGGCGUAAAGGGUUCGUAGGUUGCUAAAGUUGUUACGUGUAAAAUGUUGAUAUUUUGUCAAAAAUGCGCGCAAUACACUUUUGCUUGAGAAUAUUUGAAGAUAAUAGAAUUUUGUAUAUUUAAUGGGGGUAAAAUCUCUAAAAUUACGAAGGAAUGCCAGAGGCGAAAGCGAUUAUCUAAAAUAAUACUGACACUGAGGAACGAAAGCAUGGGUAGCAAACAGG
rnacentral:rRNA from 1 species